UCCAGACUCCUACGGGAGGCAGCAGUGAGGAAUAUUGGUCAAUGGUCGGGAGACUGAACCAGCCAAGCCGCGUGAGGGAUGAAGGUACAGAGUAUUGUAAACCUCUUUUGUCAGGGAACAAAGGCGGGGACGUGUCCCCGGAUGAGUGUACCUGAAGAAAAAGCAUCGGCUAACUACGUGCCAGCAGCCGCGGUAAUACGUAGGGAGCAAGCGUUAUCCGGAUUUAUUGGGUGUAAAGGGUGCGUAGACGGGUAUACAAGUUAGUAGUGAAAUCCCUCGGCUUAACUGAGGAACUGCUACUAAAACUAUAUAUCUUGAGUACUGGAGGGGAAAGCGGAAUUCCUAGUGUAGCGGUGAAAUGCGUAGAUAUUAGGAAGAACACCGGUGGCGAAGGCGGCUUUCUGGACAGAAACUGACGUUGAGGCACGAAAGUGUGGGGAGCAAACAGGAUUAGAUACCCGUGUA
rnacentral:rRNA from 1 species